GGUGCCGGCUGGUGAAUCACUUCUGUCUUCUUAGUGUUGAUUGUGAGACCAAAAUUGUCAUAAGCUGAAGAGAAAUGGUCCAUACUCUGCUGGAUGUAACUCUGA